AGAUAUAAACAUUAAAUUAUAAUAAUUUACACUGCAUGAAGCUUUCUACUAAAUUAAUCAUAGGCACAUUUUAUUUGGAAAAAAAAUUGUCAAAAAAUAACAGUUUUUAAAAAAUGUUUCAUAAGAAUGUUUCAAGAUCAGAAGUUCUUUCAGAUUUGAUUUGUUUUGAAAAGUAGUGUUCAGUGAAGCAAAAGUUAUAUCUAAUUUACACACUGAUCUGCUGGAAAAUAGCACAAAAAAGCUCGGUGUGAAAUAUUUACCUUUAUCUGCUGGACCUGCUUCUUUACUCUCAGCUGAAAGAGAAAGAUAGAAAUAAAUAUUCAGUGCAAAAAUAAUUUAAUGAGUCUUCAAGCAGUAUUCUAGUAAAAUCAACCCAAUACAUGUGUAUGAGUAUCCCAGAAUUUGUAAAUCAUUUUUAGUUGAGUGUGAACUUGCUAUGACAGAUUGAAAGCUAUGCAAAAGCUUUGCUUUUUGGCUACCUGCAAGAAAGACCUGACGAGGUUCCCACACCUCCUGGCCGCUUUCAUCCAACAGACCCAAUGUGAGGUCUUCAACCUCCAACAUCCAACAGACCCAAUGUGAGGUCUUCAUCUUCGGUAUUAAGGAUCACCUCAAAUGUGAUGUGAUGGUUAGGACCAUAGUCACAGCCAAAUGUCUCAACCUAAGAAAAACAAAAGAUAGCUAAACACACUUAUUUAAUGUGUCAAGAAACCUUCUUUCUCCACAAAAGGAAUUGUGGUUUACCUUUGGCUGGUAAGAAUAAGGCUCACAGAGUGGUCUGUAUUUUUUACCAGGGGUAAACUGACAUAGGGAGCUGGACUGAAUGUAGGUGUUGCACUGAUUUAAUUUCCGUACCUAUAUGGUUAAGCAAAAUAGUUAAAAAAUAUAUUGAAGUGAUUAAGUUUUAACUUAGCUUAAAUAUCUUUAUAUAUGUGCGUAUAUGUGUGUAUGUAUGUAAAAGUUCUUGUAUGUGUAGGGCUGGAGAGUCGCACUCCCGGCAUCAAAUCUAGGUGCCUCCGUCCACAAGAUUGUCACAGCGAUACACAGCAAAUUGCCAUGGAGACAGCCUUGAUCAGGUCACAGACAGAGUCAACAAUCAGCAGGUUUUCCAGAUUUAGCUUGUUCAUCAUCAGAAUCCUCAAGCUCUUCUUCAUCUGUACAACUUCUGAUGUCCUGAUGGAACUAUGUUAUCAUUUACAUGAGAACACAAACAAAUACACAUAAACAGAAAUAGAAAGAGAUACACAAACGCACCUGAAUUGAGGGUCAGAGUUCAUGUGGCAGAACCAAUUUUUAGGCAGUUUUUAGCAUCAACACCAUCUGGAAUUUUUUGCCACUUCAAACAAUCAUGACCUGAAAACAAAAAUUGCCACAAACGGAGUCGCUUGAGGUAUGCAAAUGCACUUUGGACAAGCCAGCUUCAUUUUGGAAUAAGGUGCUGGGGAGUGAUGAAUCAAAUAUUGAGUUAUUUGGUCGUAACAAGGGGUUUUAAUUUGGUGGAGGUUUCAUCAUGCUGUGGGGCUGUGUGGCCAGUUGAGAGUCGCAUGGAUUCCACUCAAUAUCAGCAGAUUCUUGGGAAUAAUGUUGAGGGCUCAGUCACAAAGUUGAAGUUACGCCAGGGCUUUAUAUUACAACAAGACAACGACCCAAAACACUGCUCAGAAUUUAUGCAGAGAAACAAGUACAAUGUUCUGGAAUGGCCAUCCCAGUCCCCAGACCUGAAUAUCAUUGAACAUCUGUGAGGUGGUUUGAAGCGGGCUGUGCAUGCUCGGCAACCAUCAAACCUAACUGAACUGGAGAUGUUUUGUUAGGAGGAAUGGUCCAAAAUACAUUCAUCCAGAAUCCAGACACUCAUUACAGGCUAUAGGAAGUGUCUAGAGGCUGUUAUUUCUGCUAAAGGAACCUCAUUUCACUACUGUAAUAUUACUAUUAAAUAUUAAAUAUUGUCCUUCAGUUAUUUGAUAGAUCAAAAUGAAAUUGCUGAUCCAAACACCCAAAUAUUUAUAAAUGAAAAUGAAAUUGUCAGGGGUUCCUAAACUUUUUCAUAUGACUGUAUCUAACUGUAUCUAAUUGUUGAUGAGAAUAUUUAACUUCAGUUAGUAUCUUUAAGAGGACCUGGCAACCUACGCUUUCGACCCGAAUACAAGGGAAGGAAAUACCUUUCUCGUAAUAUAAAGGUGCCGCAAAUGUUAUUAAAGCAGAAGUAAAUUGGUUUGCUAAAAGCCACAACUUUUUUCCCACGCUUUGAACCUUGCGGCUUAAACAAUGACGCGGCUAAUAUAUGGAUUUUUCUCGAUUUUUAAAAUUUUUUUUUCUUCAAAAAAAAACCACAUUCUGUGACGUGCUCAGUUUUUUGGCGGCAUGAAGCUUUCAUUAGACGAAUGAAAUUGCCGAACGGGUUAACUCCGACACCGAAGGAGAUGACAUCAGUGGUUUCAGUGCACAGGAGGAAAAUAGUGACCAAUGACUUUCUUAGUGGGCUACUGUUUACUGCAAAUGUUUUAUUUUUUGUUACAAGCCGUGUUUCGUUAAAGCCUAUUUAUUUUUGUUACAAGCCGUGUUUCAUUAAAGCCUAUUUAUUUUUGUGACGUGUGACAUUAGCAGAAAGCGGUUUUAACAUUGACAUGGAGGAUAAAAACAAAGAAAAGAAAACAAAGAAAGCGAAGAAAUGCUUACGAUAAGGCAAGAAGUACCCGCCCCUUUCUGCUCAUUGGCUACACGUUUGUUUUGAUUUUUGUUUUGAUUUUUAGUUUGUCGUUCCGACUCAGUUUUCUGAAGCAUACCUUCAGGGGCGGUUCUAGAGGCGGGGCCACAGGGGCCCUGGCCCCUGCUAAAAUCUGAUUGGCCCCUGAUUGGCCCCCGUUCCAUGAAUCGUCGAUGAGAAGAGCAACCGGAGAAUAUUUCACAAUGAUCACAGAUGCAAUUCCACCCCAAACAAUUCGCGGCACUAGCGGCAGUAAUGUGUCGAUGCAACUUGGGAGAAGCAUUGAAUCCCGACGGGCCAGGUCAUUAGAUUUGGAUGAAUUUGUCAGGCGUUUCAGCUCCAAGCAUAGCAAUUGGAGAAUUCUUCUUUUUUGAGGUGUAUGUGUGUAUAGGUGUGUGUAUGUGUGAAUGAGCAAGUGACAGAAAUUGAGUGAGAGAAAGAUAAAGAGAGAGAGAGAUGUUUAAGCUGGAAGGUGCAAGUUGUUGCUCCUACAGUAUGUUAAUGUUGGUUUGCAUGUUCAAUAUUGUUUAUCUCAUCAAAAAAGGGCUUAAAUUGCAAUUUGUUUUUCUGACAAUAUGUGAAAAAGAUGAGAAAUAUGAAACAAAUGUUUAGGUAAAUAUAUCCACACUGUAAAUUGUAUUGUAUUUGGAAACAGUGUUAUGGUAACAUACGUACAUGUUAAAAUACCUCUUUGUUUUUUCUGAAUUUGCUGUGCUGCACUUUACCUUUAUUAGAGUGUACUGUAUGAGAUGUUUAAGCCGGGAGGUAUAAAUAUAUCCACACUGUAAAUUGUAUUGUAUUUGAUUAAUUAAUCGCUGUGCUGUACUUUAGUGUGUGUGUCAUGGUUGAAGCGCCUGCCUCGUCCUCCGAUCGCCACCAGAGGGAACCUUCUCCUGAGUAUUAGUAGUUAUCGGACUACAUUUCCCAUAAUCCGCUUACCGGGACUGAUUACACCGCUACCUGCUUCCAAUCACCCAUUUCCUACUUAAGCUGAUUUGUCAUGGCUAUCAGUCUGAGUGUUUCCUGUUCUGUGAUUUUCCCGGUUUGUUACUUUGUUUUGUAUUCCUGUCUUCCGAUUGUUUGCCGCCUGUCUUGACCCGCUGCCUGUUAUCUUGACCACCAUUACUGCCUUCUCUAAAUUGAUGUGUUUGCCGACAUUGACCCUUGCCUGUUGUACCGCGAGAGUUGUAAUAAAGUUAAUGGAUCCUCAGACGCUUCA